UGGGGAUUUUGGACAAUGGGGGAAACCCUGAUCCAGCCAUCCCGCGUGUGCGAUGAAGGCCUUCGGGUUGUAAAGCACUUUUGGCAGGAAAGAAACGUCAUGGGUUAAUACCCCGUGAAACUGACGGUACCUGCAGAAUAAGCACCGGCUAACUACGUGCCAGCAGCCGCGGUAAUACGUAGGGUGCAAGCGUUAAUCGGAAUUACUGGGCGUAAAGCGUGCGCAGGCGGUUCGGAAAGAAAGAUGUGAAAUCCCAGAGCUCAACUUUGGAACUGCAUUUUUAACUACCGGGCUAGAGUGUGUCAGAGGGAGGUGGAAUUCCGCGUGUAGCAGUGAAAUGCGUAGAUAUGCGGAGGAACACCGAUGGCGAAGGCAGCCUCCUGGGAUAACACUGACGCUCAUGCACGAAAGCGUGGGGAGCAAACAGG
rnacentral:rRNA from 1 species